ACAAACUGAAUCCUUGUAGUGGUGUUGGGACUGUGCUUUGGCAAAGUGGGUGGGGUUAUAUUCUGCCUGGUUGGCCCUAUCCGGGGUAUCAUCGGACUGGGCCACAGUGUCUCCUGACCCCUCCUGUCUCAGCCUCCAGUAUUUAUGCUGCAGUAGUUUGUGUCGGGGGGCUAGGGUCAGUUUGUUAUAUCUGGAGUACUUCUCCUAUCGUAUCCGGUGUCCUGUGUGAAUUUAAGUAUGCUCUCUAAUUCUCUCUCUCUUUCUCUCAGAGGACCAUGCCCCAGGACUACCUGGCCUGGUGGCUCCUUGCUGUCCCCAGUCCACCUGGCCGUGCUGCUGCUCCAGUUUCAACUGUUCUGCCUGCGGCUAUGGAAUCCUGACCUGUUCACCGGACGUGCUAAAUGUCCCAGACCUGCUGUUUUCAACUCUCUCUCUCUUCCGCACCUGCUGUCUUUAACUCUAAAUGCUCGGCUAUAAAAAGCCAGCUGACAUUUACUCAUGAGGUGCUGACCUGUUGCACCCUCUACAACCACUGUGAUUAUUAAUAUUAUUUGACCCUGCAGGUCAUCUUUGAACAUUUGAAAAUCUUGGCCAUGUUCUGUUAUAAUCUCCACCCGGCACAGCCAGAAGAGGACUGGCCAUCCCUCAGAGCCUGGUUCCUCUCUAGGUUUCUUCCUAGGUUCCUGCCUUUCUUGGGAGUUUUUCCUAGCCUCCGUGCUUCUACACCUGCAUUGCUUGCUGUUUGGGGUUUUAGGCUGUGUUUCUCUAUAGCACUUUGAGAUAUCAGCUGAUGUACGAAGGGCUAUAUAAAUACAUUUGAUUGAUGCAUCCUCACACAGAUCAAAUAAAAUCUAAUCAAAUCACAUGUUAUUUGUCACAUGAGCCGAAUACAACAGGUGUAGUAGACCUUACCGUGAAAUGAUGAAUACAACAGGUGUAGUAGACCUUACAGUGAAAUGCUGAAUACAACAGGUGUAGUAGACCUUACCGUGAAAUGAUGAAUACAACAGGUGUAGUAGACCUUACCGUGAAAUGAUGAAUACAACAGGUGUAGUAGACCUUACCGUGAAAUGAUGAAUACAACAGGUGUAGUAGACCUUACCGUGAAAUUCUUACUUACAAACCCUUAACCAACAAUGCAGUUUUAGGAAAAUAGAGUUAAGUAAAGAUUUACAAAAUAAAACACCGUAAAAAAAUCUAUUAAAAAGUAACACAAUAAAAUAACAUUAAUGAGGCUAUAUAAAUAAGGUUAUAUACAGGGGGUACCGGUGCCAAGUCAUUGUGCAUGAGUACAGGUUAGUAAAACAAGGUGAUUUGUACAUGUAGGUAGGGGUAAAGUGACUAUGCAUAGAUAAUAUGCAUAUUACCUGACGUGCUACCUGUCCCAGACCUGCUGUUUUCAACUCUCUAGAGACAGCAGGAGCGGUAGAGAUACUCUGAAGGAUCGGCUAUGAAGAGUCAACUGACAUUUACUCCUGAGGUGCCAAACAGCAUUGCUUGCGGUUUGGGGUUUUAUAGGCUGGGUUUCUGUACAGCACUUUGAGAUAUCAGCUGAUGUAAGAAGGGCUUUCAAUUCUUCAGUUUUUGAUUUGUUAAAAAAGUUUGAAAUAUCCAAUAAAUGUCGUUCCACUUCA